CGAGUUUGAUCCUGGCUCAGAACUAACGCUGUCGGCAUGCAUAAUACAUGCAAGUCUACGAGAAACCCGAGCUUGCUUGGGGAGUAAAGUGGCGCACGGGUGAGUAACACGUGAGCAACCUACCCUUAAAUCAGGAAUAACAUCUCGAAAGAGGUGCUAAUGCCGGAUAAGACCACGGUAUCGCAUGGUAUCGGGGUAAAAGAUGGCCUCUGCUUUGCACGCUGUCGUUUAAGGAUGGGCUCGCGGCCUAUUAGCUUGUUGGUAGGGUAAAGGCCUACCAAGGCGACGAUGGGUAGCCGGCCUGAGAGGGUGACCGGCCACACUGGCACUGAGACACGGGCCAGACUCCUACGGGAGGCAGCAGUAAGGAAUUUUGCGCAAUGGUCGCAAGACUGACGCAGCAAUGCCGAGUGAAGGAUGAAUGUCUUCGGAUUGUAAACUUCUUUUCUGGAGGAAGAACCGUAAUUGUUUUAAUAGAGCAGUUACCUGACGUUACUCCAGGAAUAAGCCCUGGCUAAUUCCGUGCCAGCAGCCGCGGUAACACGGAGAGGGCGAGCGUUGUUCGGAAUCACUGGGCGUAAAGGGCGCGUAGGCGGUUUAACAAGUCGUCUGUGAAAUCUUCCGGCUUAACUGGGAGACUGCAGUCGAAACUGUUGAACUUGAACACUGGAGGGGAGAACGGAAUUCCGGGUGUAUGGGUGGAAUCAGUAGAUAUCCGGAAGAACACCAGAGGCGAAGGCGGUUCUCUGGCCAGUUGUUGACGCUGAGGUCGCGAAAGCUAGGGUAGCAAAUGGGAUUAGAUACCCCAGUAGUCCUAGCCGUAAACGUUGGGUACUAGGUGUGGGAGAUAUAGAAAUCUUCUGUGCCGAAGCAAACGCCUGUCUCUUAUACAC
rnacentral:rRNA from 1 species